rfam:Triticum aestivum genome assembly, contig: Triticum_aestivum_CS42_TGACv1_scaffold_576926_7BL
UAACUACUCCCUUCGUCCGAAAUUAUUUGUCAUCAAAAUGGAUAAAAAUGGAUGUAUCUAUAACUAAAAUACAUUUAGAUACAUCCAUUUCAAUGACAAGUACUUCCGGACGAAGGAAGUACUAC